UACGAAGGGGGCUAGCGUUGCUCGGAAUGACUGGGCGUAAAGGGCGCGUAGGCGGAUGGCACAGUCAGAUGUGAAAUUCCUGGGCUUAACCUGGGGGCUGCAUUUGAUACGUGUUGUCUUGAGUUCGGAAGAGGGUCGUGGAAUUCCCAGUGUAGAGGUGAAAUUCGUAGAUAUUGGGAAGAACACCGGUGGCGAAGGCGGCGACCUGGUCCGACACUGACGCUGAGGCGCGAAAGCGUGGGGAGCAAACAGG
rnacentral:rRNA from 1 species